GACGAACGCUGGCGGCGUGCCUAAUACAUGCGAGUAGAACGCUGAAGAGAGGAGCUUGCUCUUCUUGGAUGAGUUGCGAACGGGUGAGUAACGCGUAGGUAACCUGCCUUGUAGCGGGGGAUAACUAUUGGAAACGAUAGCUAAUACCGCAUAACAAUGGAUGACACAUGUCAUUUAUUUGAAAGGGGCAAUUGCUCCACUACAAGAUGGACCUGCGUUGUAUUAGCUAGUAGGUGAGGUAAUGGCUCACCUAGGCGACGAUACAUAGCCGACCUGAGAGGGUGAUCGGCCACGCUGGGACUGAGACACGGCCCAGACUCCUACGGGAGGCAGCAGUAGGGAAUCUUCGGCAAUGGGGGCAACCCUGACCGAGCAACGCCGCGUGAGUGAAGAAGGUUUUCGGAUCGUAAAGUUCUGUUGUAAGUCAAGAACGGGUGUGAGAGUGGAAAGUUCACACUGUGACGGUAGCUUACCAGAAAGGGACGGCUAACUACGUG
rnacentral:rRNA from 1 species